rnacentral:lncRNA from 12 species
CAGAACUUUAAAUAAGAUUUAAUAAACAACCAGUCCAAAUACAAAUAAAUUCAUCUCCUUUGUGUUAUUAAUCCUAACUCUGAGUGAAAACAAGAGAAAAUAAAGUCAAGCUACUAAUUAAGUGGUGCAGUGCCCCCGUUCAGAAUCUCACUGAGGAAAUCCUCCUCUGAUCUCCUGUUCUGGGUGAUGCCCAUGGAGCGACCUGGGGACAGACCCUGCUGAGAAGGCACUUGGUGAGGGUGUCCAGGACAGCCCCAGAGCCUCAGUGGCUGCUUGGGUUGCUCUGUGGGCACCCCAGGAAUGGGAUUUUGGGGUGCAAGGGGACGCUGGUGCUGCCUGCGUCCCGUUCCUACCUCUCCACGGGACUGGGAACCCCAGUGCAGAGGCUGGGUGGGGCCGCUGGGGCUACAGAUCAACUGGGACUGUGGAGAGGGGAGGCACUGGACUAGGCAAUGAGCCCCUCUCCCAGCCUUUGAACAUCCCAAAAUUCGCUUUUCCUGGCUGGCGUGUUGGUGUCGGGGGCUGUCUGAAGGGAUGUGUCGUGACCUCUCUCCCGGCAGCUCUGGCUGCCAGCCUCUCCCGGGAGGCGAAUGAAGCUCGCAGCACACAAGAGACGAUCUUAUCUGCCCAUCUUUACUUCAGAGCGCCCAGCAGCGCCUCUCGCAGCGCCCAGCAGCGCCCGCUCCGGGGCUGGAUCCGCCCCGCGGGGUCAUUUCCCCUUUUUGGGAGAGGGGAUGCAGCAGUGCAGCUCCUCGCAGUACGGGCUGAAGGACCACUCCUCGGUCUCGCCGCAGGCGUGGGCGCAGUACCCAUCGCAGAAUCCCUUGGGCUGCCCGUGCCCUGCCGAGGGAACAGACACGGGGGGGAGAAAAACGUGGGUGUUGGGAGGGCAGAGCUCCAGGAGCUGUGUCCUGGCUGGUUCCAGGGUGGGGCUGAUGCUCUGGGUGCCUCUGGGGUUAGACCCACCUAGGACAGGAUGAAAUUCGUGUCCCCACUGGGCUGGAGGACAACUGGGAACUUACAAACCAUCCCUCUGCUCAGGUUGGAUCCAUCCCUCUGCUCUUGUUGGAUCUCUCUACAAACCAGCCCUCUGCUCAUGUUGGAUCUUUUCAAACCAUCCCUCUGCUCAUGUUGGAUCCCUACAAACCAUCCCUCUGCUCAUGUUGGAUCCACCCCUCUACUCAUGUUGGAUCCAUCCCUCUGCUCAUGUUGGAUCUCUGCAAACCAUCCCUCUGCUCAUGUUGGAUCCCUCUACAAACCAUCCCUCUAAUCAUGUUGGAUCCCUCUACAAACCAUCCCUCUGCUCAUGUUGGAUCCACCCCUCUGCUCACGUUGGAUUCCUCUGGGAUCCCCCCCCCCCCCCCCCCCCCCCCCCCC